rnacentral:rRNA from 1 species
UACGUAGGGUGCAAGCGUUGUCCGGAAUUAUUGGGCGUAAAGAGCUCGUAGGCGGUCAGUCGCGUCUGCUGUGAAAACUCGGGGCUUAACCCCGGGCCUGCAGUGGGUACGGGCAGACUAGAGUGCGGUAGGGGAGACUGGAAUUCCUGGUGUAGCGGUGAAAUGCGCAGAUAUCGGGAGGAACACCAGUAGCGAAGGCGGCUCGCUGGGCCAUUCCUGACGCUGAGACGCGAAAGCUAGGGGAGCGAACAGG